AUUGAACGCUGGCGGCAGGCCUAACACAUGCAAGUCGAGCGGAUGAAGGGAGCUUGCUCCUGGAUUCAGCGGCGGACGGGUGAGUAAUGCCUAGGAAUCUGCCUGGUAGUGGGGGAUAACGUCCGGAAACGGGCGCUAAUACCGCAUACGUCCUGAGGGAGAAAGUGGGGGAUCUUCGGACCUCACGCUAUCAGAUGAGCCUAGGUCGGAUUAGCUAGUUGGUGGGGUAAAGGCCUACCAAGGCGACGAUCCGUAACUGGUCUGAGAGGAUGAUCAGUCACACUGGAACUGAGACACCGUCCAGACUCCUACGGGAGGCAGCAGUGGGGAAUAUUGGACCAUGGGCGAAAGCCUGAUCCAGCCCUGCCGCGUGUGUGAAGAAGGUCUUCCGAUUGUAAAACCCUUUUAGUUGGGAGGAAGGGCAGUAAGUUUAUUCCUUGCUGUUUUGACGUUACCCACAGAAUAAGCACCGGCUAACUUCGUG
rnacentral:rRNA from 1 species